rnacentral:tRNA from 1 species
GGGGGAUAUAGCUCAGUUGGUAGAGCUCCGCU